CAUUACAAGCCCCUUUAAGAAACUGACAUGACCUGUGCGCUACGUACGAGAUGGAAGGUGGUAAACAGAUCAAAAGGGAGCUCGGAUACAACAAGGAAAACACCAAGUUUGUGAUGUGCAAAGAAACAGAAUUCCAAAAGGCUUGUGCAAUUGCCUCUCUUUCUUUAGAGUGCAAAGAGCAUCUUGAUAGUAUUUAUCCAGAAAAUAUUGGGCUACAUGGAAGGAGCAUCUCUGAAGAAUAUGAGGAAUCGGAACACUUUUGGGAGUCCCCAAUGACAGCGUCCUGUUGGCUGAUUCUUCCACUCCAGAAGCACCACUGGAUUACGUCUGACUCAAACACGUAAAAUUGGCUUCUAAUCUACAAGUCAUGGGAAAGAAGAAAGGGACCUGGAGGAAGGAAGUUUGAGGGUGACCACGGUGGAUAUUGGUUCAUUUCCACAGA